rnacentral:rRNA from 1 species
CUGUGCAAAGGUAGCAUAAUCAUUAGUUUUUUAAUUGAAAGCUGGAAUGAAGGGUUUAAUGAGAAAAAUACUGUCUCAAUUUUAGUAAUUAAAAUUUUAUUUUUAAGUAAAAAAGCUUAAAUUUUUUAAUAAGACGAGAAGACCCUAUAGAGUUUGACAUUUAAGUAGUUUAUUUUUAUUAGGUUUUAAAAAUGGAAUUAAUUUUUAAAUGUUUUAUUGGGGUGAUAUGAAAAUAUAACAAACUUUUUAUUUAUUAUAUCAUAAAUUUAUGAAUAUUUGAUCCUAAGAUUUGGAUUUUAAGAUAAAAUUACCUUAGGGAUAACAGCGUAAUUUUUUUUGAGAGUUCUAAUCGAAAAAAAAGUUUGCGACCUCGAUGUUGGAUUAAAGUUAAAUUUUGGCGUAGAAGUUAAAAAUUUAGGUCUGUUCGACUUUUAAAGCU